GUUGGUUCAAUGCUUUUCCAGGGCAGCCCAUGUGCAGAGUCCCGAUGAAGAGCUCUCGCAUGGGAGAACGCCCUGUGAUUAUUUUGCCCCGUGCAAGCAAAUUUGCUUAUGACUUGUCUCCAUCAGUGGGAUACCAGAGAAACUGUAUUGUGCAUGUGUUUGUGGGCUGCUUGAGGAAUUGUGUGUGAAUGCAGUGAGCUGUGUGUGGUGUGGUGUUUUGUAAAUCUUUGAUCUCC